rnacentral:rRNA from 1 species
AAUAUUGGACAAUGGGGGCAACCCUGAUCCAGCCAUGCCGCGUGUGUGAAGAAGGUCUUCGGAUUGUAAAGCACCUUAAGUUGGGAGGAAGGGUCUUAGGUUAAUACCCUGAUGUUUCGACGUUACCAACAGAAUAAGCACUGGCUAACUCUGUGCCAAGAGCCGCGGCAAUACAGAGGGUGCAAGCGUUAAUAGGAAUUACUGGGAGUAGAGCGCGCGUAGAUGGUUCAGUAAGAUGGGUGUGAAAGCCCCGGGCUAAAACUGGGAACUGCAUUCAUAACUGGUGAGCUAGAGUACGGUAGAGGGUAGUGGAAAUUCCUGUGUAGCGGUGAAAUGCGUAGAUAUAGGAAGGAACACCAGUGGCGAAGGCGACUACCUGGACUGAUACUGACACUGAGGUGCGAAAGCGUGGGGAGCAAAC